CCCGGAAGGCCUGAGUUGCAGAAGCCUGUGUGGCAAGCAUCUAGACUGGUUCCCAGGAUGAACAGCAGCACUAGCCCUCAAAGGGACCCAGAGAUGCAUAUGGUCGGUAGAGGUGUGAGAGAGUUCCCUCAUUGCCCAGGGCUCCUCCGUAUGCCCUACCACAUGGGGUGGAAUGUACCAGACUUCCCUCCUCCUCAUCCACCUCCACAGUGGUGGACAUGGGGG